UGGCAGCAGCAUAGCUAACUAGCUUUGUUGAUACUGUACUUUUUACCAUGAAGAUAUUUCUUAGUUUUUCAUGUUUGCAAGUGUCACGAUGACAAGGGCAGGCUGAAUUCAGAUUGAGCCAAACACAGUGGAUACAAGUGGCCCUCCAGUUUAACUCAAAAGCUGGCUUCCCAAUUACAGAUACAGAUGGUGGCGAGGAGUCUGGUGGCGAUGUAUGGAGGCAGGCAGUGCUGGAAGGCUGGCUGCAAGACGUAAUUGGAGAAGGUGUACCUCUUCUGCUCACCUAGAGACAUUCUCCCUACCCAAGCUCUGCCUGAAGCAGACUGCGAAGACUUUCCAAAAAGGCAGCGACGCGAGAGCCUGCCUAAGGACUUCUGCACGAGCGGCUGCAACACAAAGUCUUGCCAGCAAAACAACAACAACAGGAGCCACAAACCAGCAAGACUGCUUCACAGGACUUCAAACAGCACAUAAAAAGGACAGCUCCCCCUUUUCAUGAACUGGUUACACAACUGGGCUAAUUACACGAGGCUAUGCACAGGACAGUUAAAAUUAUAUUAUUGUGGUGUAUAUCUGCAUUGUUGUAAUAUUUGGUAAUAAGUUAUUGAAAGUUAAUGCUAGUUAUGUGAUGCUCUUUAUAGACCCAUGGUCUUGUUUUAAGGUUUUUGUGAAAAAAAUUACCGUAAUACAUAUAAAUGAUAUUAAACUAAGAUAUUACAAUCAUUAUCGUAAUUUUUAAAUCCUUAUUAAUGGUGAAAUUGCUAGGUUUGAAGUGAAAAAUCGCAAUUUCGGGGGCUAUACAGCCCUAAAACUUGGCCCUACCCCUCCGUCCCAACAUGCAUUGGGACAAUCUACCCCUACACAUGAACGCUCAAAACGAAGGGGAAGGGCUAAGGUGUGAAAUGGGACUGGGCAUAAGUUUACCUACACAUGAAGGAUAAAAGUCUCUGCUGCAACAACAUUAACAUAUUUUGCAUAGAGAGGACAGGUGGUUUGAAACUGGAGUAAAGAGACUAUCCCUUGAGAGAGGAUGAAGUCUACAACACCACUUAUACCCCCCGCCUACAAAGCCCACCUUCUUCCCAGGAGAUUUAACAACAAUUUACUCCUGACCAUCUGUGACAGGAGCUGUUUAAGCCUGCUCUCAGGUGACUCCACUGACAAUAGCUGUUCUUGCAACAGCAAGUAGCACUGACGAACAGUGACAUCACUGACAUUGAUAGAAGUUAAAUAACUGGGACUCAGAAUUGAAAAAGCCUCUUGAUGAGAGGUUGAAACGUCUUCAAAUAUCUAAAUCAAGUGCAAUCGCUCUUGAUUCUUUUUUCUCAUAUACGGUGCAAGAGGAACAACAAUAGGAAGACCAAGGCUUAAACAAACACAAGGAGAAAAGGGUGUAGUUGAAUGUAGAGUCGUUUGUCAGACGACAUCUCAUGCACAGCCUAGGCUGAAGUUCUGGUCUGUCCCCUCACUGUUUCAUCAUAGCUAAACAGUCGACUGCAGGACUUCUUGUUUAACUAUUUCCAUUUCAGCCUACUGAAGUGUUGCAGCUCAAUCACACUCGAUUGGAAAGAGAGGAAGGGGAAACCUUUUGGAAGAAAGUGAACGUGACCUAUGAUGUAAAUACCAGAGCACAACCAAUAUGGAUUUUUGGGGGGCCAAUGCAAAUACAGGAAAGGUGAAAUGGUG